AAAAUAGGAUGUUAUCAUGAUUUCUUAAGAUGCUAUAAAGCUUUAUCGGUGAUUGAUGAAUUACAAUUAUUGAGUUGUGGAUAUCAGUAAAAUGGAGUUAGAUGUGGAAAUUCUAAAAUGGUCUUAAUACGGGAUCCUUAAUUCAUAUUCAGGAUUUACUUCCCUGUUAGGAUUAUUCCAUAAAUAUACUGAUUUGCUGUUCAUUAUGUUACUCCAAGUUUUGUUUUAUUAAUGUUUACGGAAAACCUAUUAGUACACUAGCCACCGAAGCAGAGCUUCUUUAGUUUGCG
rnacentral:misc_RNA from 1 species